rnacentral:rRNA from 1 species
UACGUAGGUGGCGAGCGUUGUCCGGAUUUACUGGGCGUAAAGAGCGCGCAGGCGGUCGUACAAGUCGCGUGUGAAAGCCCCCGGCUCAACUGGGGAGGGUCACGCGAUACUGUUCGACUCGAAGGCAGGAGAGGGAAGUGGAAUUCCCGGUGUAGUGGUGAGAUGCGUAGAUAUCGGGAGGAACACCAGUGGCGAAGGCGACUUCCUGGCCUGUUCUUGACGCUGAGGCGCGAAAGCUAGGGGAGCAAACGGG